rnacentral:misc_RNA from 1 species
AACCAUUCUCACCUGCGGCUAGACCUGCGGAGGGAUCAUUACACAAUAAACAUAUGAAGGCUGCACCGCCAACAGGCGGCAAGGCUGGAGUAUUUUAUUACCCUUGUCUUUUGCGCACUUGUUGUUUCCUGGGCGGGUUCGCCCGCCUCCAGGACCACAUGAUAAACCUUUUUUAUGCAGUUGCAAUCAGCGUCAGUACAACAAAUGUAAAUCAUUUACAACUUUUAACAAUGGAUCUCA